CCUUGUUUCUGAAAGUAAUCAUGGGCUUUUGUGCCCUGGUCAUUGAUACUGCAAGGAGAGGGUCCUGAAAGCCUCUCCUGAUGUCUGGAAGAUCUGCUCCUGUCCUUGCCAAACCCUGGCAUUUUCAAUACA